UGCGGGGUGGAGCAGCCAGGUAGCUCGUCGGGCUCAUAACCCGAAGGUCGUCAGUUCAAAUCUGGCCCCCGCGACCA
rnacentral:tRNA from 1 species